UACGUAGGCAGCAAGCGUUGUUCGGAAUUACUGGGCGUAAAGAGUGUGUAGGCGGUGCUGUAAGUCUGGUGUGAAAUCUCCCGGCUCAACUGGGAGGGUGCGCCGGAAACUGCAGUGCUUGAGGGUGGGAGAGGUAAGCGGAAUUCCUGGUGUAGCGGUGAAAUGCGUAGAGAUGUGGAGGAACACCUGUGGCGAAGGCGCCUUGCUGGCCGAUUUCUGACGCUGAGGCGCGAAAGCGUGGGGAGCAAACAGG
rnacentral:rRNA from 1 species